rnacentral:rRNA from 1 species
CCCCUAGAUGUUCUGGGCCGCACGCGCGCUACACUGAACAGUUCAACAAGUCUUAACCUUGGCCGAUAGGUCUGGGUAAUCUUUGAACGCUGUUCGUGAUUGGGAUAGACCUUUGCAAUUAUGGGUCUUCAACGAGGAAUUCCUAGUAAACGCAAGUCAUCAGCUGCAUUGAUUACGUCCCUGCCCUUUGUACACACCGCCCGUCGCACCUACCGAUUGAAUGGUCCGGUGAAAUCUCGGGACGGCGGCUUGGUCGCUUGCGUCCGACUGCUGAAACUUGAUUAAACCAUAUCAUUUAGAGGAAGGUGAAGUCGUAACA